CUUAGUCUCCUUUAGUCCAACUCCCUCCAGAAGCAGUACGAAAAGGUCACCUUCAAGAACAAAUUGAAGUUUGUUGGUGCUCAUGAAUAAAGGAAUAAAUGGAAAGAAUUGAAUGAAUGGCGUUGCUCUUCUGUCUCCUCCUCUGACUUUGGCCAGCUUCCGGGCACCCCCUUCCUGGGCUCCUCGAUGUUCUACCUCAGGGUUGCCCUAGUUUCCCUAUCGACACCCUCUUUCAGUCAGUCAAGAGCCAGAGGACAAUCGCCGUCCUAAAAGUGUAUUGACCACCGCGGGCCACCAUAGCUCGAGCGCAGGGUACGCGACGCCGCCGCCAGGUUAUCCCUGAGCCACUUCCGCGUUUCCCUCACCUAGUCGUGCUUUUCGGGCUGCGCGGUACCCGUACACGUGAACAGAGAAACGCUGGUGGCCAGAGUAGUGCUCUCCCAGCCAUCACCUUCGAGCAAAUUUACGGACGUCUUUAGAGCUUUCUCAAGCACUGUUAUUUGCUUCUCAAAACAGCCUUCGGAGAGAGAAGGGGCAGUCACUCCACUUUAAUAUUGAAGAUGGAAAGAAAUAAGCAACAUGUCCGGCAUAUUAUGCUUUAUUAUUUCAAGAAAGGUAAAAGCGCAACUGAAACUCACCGAAAGAUUUGUGCAGUGUAUGGAGAAGGUGCUGUGACUGAUCGAAUGUGUCAAAAGUGGUUUGCGAAAUUUUGUGCUGGAGAUUUCUCACUGGACUAUCCUCCAGGGGACGUUGAUAGCGAUCAAAUUGAGACAUUAAUUGAGAUCAAUAAACAUUAUACCAUGGGGAGAUAGCCGACAUACUCAAAAUAUCCAACCACAUCAAGCAUUGAAAAUCAUUUAUACCAGCUUGGUUACGUUAACUACUUCGAUAUUUGGGAUCCACAAUAAGUGAAAAAAACUUCCUUGACCAUAUUUCUGCAUGCGACUGACUCUCUACUUAAACAACAAAAGCAUUCUGCUUUUAUAACAAAUUGUAAACAGCAAUGAAAAGUGGAUACUUUACAAUAGUGCAGAACGGAAGAGAUGGUGGGGCAAGUGAGAUGAACUACCAUUGACCACACCAAAGGCCUUCUUCAUCCAAAGAAGUUGAUGUUGUGAUGUUGUAUAAAUGUAGGAUUGCAAAGGGGUCCUCUGGUAUGAGCUCCUUCCAGAAAACCAAACGAUUAAUUCUAACAAGUACUGUUCCCAAUUAGACCAACUGAAAGCUGCACUUGAUGAAAAACGUCUGGAAUUAGUCAACAGAAAACACAUAAUCUUCCAUCAGGAUAACACAAGACCUCGUGUUUCUUUGAUGACCAGGCAAAAACUGUUACAGCUUGGCUGGAAAGGUCUUUCCUCUGCGGUAUUCACCAGACCUUGCACCUUUGGAUUUCCAUUUAUUUUUGUCUUCACAAAAUUCUCUUAAUCAGGAAAAAAGUCAAUUCCCUGGAAGACUGCAAAAAGCAUCUGGAAGAGUACUUUGCUCAAAAAGAUAAAAAGUUUUGGAAAGAUGGACUAAUGAAGUUGCCUGAAAGAUGGCAAAAGGCAGUAGAACAAAACAGUGAAUAAUAUGCUGUUCAAUAAAGUUUUUGGUAAAAAUGAAAAAA